GUGUAACUGGGUCUAUAUUAAUAGUUGUAUAUUUCCACAAAAUGUGUUCUUUCAUGUAUUUGUUUGCUUCUAUUUGACUGUUGUUGUGUUCUUCUGUGUCUACUAUAAGGGGUUCGGUCCUCCAACUCCGCCUUAUUUUCUUCUUCUUUUGUUCAGGGUCCUCCAGGACUAUUAUAAAUAUUAUUAAUUUCCUCUUCCCUUUUGUUGUUCGUUCCACUGGGGAGAGGCAAGUUUUAUAAUCUAUUGUAAUCCUUUCAUUUAUAGAGUUCAAAUGUUUAUUUUUCCUUCUGUAUUAAUGAUAAGUGUUUGGAUAUUUUUAUUUGAGUUGUUAUUACACCUUUAUAUAAUUUGUGCAUGCUAACUAUUAUUUUGUAUAGAUCGGGUUGGAGAACUGGAGCACAUGCUAGGUGCUAAUGCUAAUAUCUCCCGAUUGACAGAAUAAAUAAACGGAGACCGCCUCCAAACCCAGACUUGAUGUCUUGUGGUUUGUCUGAUCACCACACCAAACACAACGCAGAACUCCACCGGUCACACU